rnacentral:rRNA from 1 species
AGGAUGAACGCUGGCGGCGUGCCUAACACAUGCAAGUCGAACGUGAGAGCCUAGCAAUAGGCUUGAAAGUGGCGAACGGGUGAGUAACACGUGGGUAACCUACCGCGCAGAGGGGGAUAACGACUGGAAACGGUCGCUAAUACCGCAUAGUACCAAGAGGAAUGGAUUCUUUUGGUUAAAACUUUGGUGCUGCGCGAGGGGCCUGCGCCCGAUUAGCUAGUUGGUGAGGUAAAAGCUCACCAAGGCGAUGAUCGGUAGCUAGUCUGAGAGGAUGAUUAGCCACACGGGAACUGAGACACGGUCCCGACUCCGUACGGGGGCAGCAGUGAG